UCUUUUAAUUGAAGGCUAGUAUGAAUGGUUGGACGAAAAAUAUACUUUCUUUAUUUUAUAUAAAUNAAUUAAUUUUUUAGUUAAAAAGCUAAGAUUUUUUUAUAGGACGAGAAGACCCUAUAGAACUUUAUUUUCUANAUAUAUAUAUUUUAUAGAUUUUUAAAAUAUUAUAUAUUAAUAGUUAAUUUAAUUGGGGUGAUUGAAAAAAUUAUAUAACUUUUUCUAUUUCUAUCAUUUAUUUAUGAUGUUUUU
rnacentral:rRNA from 1 species